rnacentral:RNase_P_RNA from 1 species
UGAGUAAGCCAGACAAUCGCUGCUGUAGGAAUACAGGAGAGGAAAGUCCGAGCUCCAUAGGACAGGGUGCUGGGUAAUACCCAGUCAGGGCGACUUGAAGGAAAGUGCAACAGAGAUAUACCGCCAUGUGUGUUUUCACACAUGGUAAGGGUGGAAAGGCGAGGUAAGAGCUCACCAGCGCAUUGGCGACUUUGCGGCUAUGUAAACCCCAUCUGGAGCAAGAUCGAAUAGGGAGGCAUAUAAGGGGUGGUCCGUCCCGCCUCCGGGUAGUAUCGCUGGAGCCUAUUAGUAAUGAUAGGCCUAGAUAGAUGAUUGUCUAAUACAGAACUCGGCUUAUAGACUUGGUCACAUA